UACGGAGGGUGCUAGCGUUGUUCGGAAUCACUGGGCGUAAAGGGCGUGUAGGCGGCCUGCUAAGUCUGAUGUGAAAUCCCCUCGCUCAACGAGGGAACUGCGUCGGAUACUGGCAGGCUCGAGUACCGGAGAGGAAGGUGGAAUUCCCGGUGUAGCGGUGAAAUGCGUAGAUAUCGGGAGGAACAUCGGUGGCGAAGGCGGCCUUCUGGACGGAUACUGACGCUGAGACGCGAAAGCGUGGGGAGCAAACAGG
rnacentral:rRNA from 1 species